rnacentral:rRNA from 1 species
AAAUUGAAGAGUUUGAUCAUGGCUCAGAUUGAACGCUGGCGGCAGGCCUAACACAUGCAAGUCGAACGGUAACAGGAAGCAGCUUGCUGCUUUGCUGACGAGUGGCGGACGGGUGAGUAAUGUCUGGGAAACUGCCUGGUGGAGGGGGAUAACUACUGGAAACGGUAGCUAAUACCGCAUAACGUCGCAAGACCAAAGAGGGGGACCUUC